ACCGCAUGAUUAGCGAUUAAUUAACGAUUACUUUCCUCGUGUACUUUACAUAACGGAAACACUGUCUGGAACACAAAUCUGUCAAAAUGCUAACAUCGGUUUACAUCGUAAAAUGCUAACAUCGGUUUAGUACAGUUUACAUCGUAAAAUCAAAAAAGACUGUAAUUUCUUUGCUAAAAUGAGGUUGGUACUUACUAUACUCAGCACUGCAGAGAUGGAAUAUUUAACUGCGGAUUAUUCAAUGGCCAUUUUUGGUUGUGUUUAUAAUAAGCAAACCUCAAGGAAAGCUUAGAAACUGAAAAGAUGGUUUUCUAUGCACAGUGUGAUGAAUUCUUAUAGUUGUGUAUUUAUUUUAUGUCUUAGCUGUGUAUUUCCUCUAUUCAGAGCGCGAUUUAUGUUUUAUUCUAUGUCUAUGUUAAGUUACAGAGCGUGAGUUAAUUGCUAUUACCGCAUUCCUUCGUUUACCGCAUUCCUUCGUUUUACAUUAUUGGCACAUUCCUGUAUUUUGCGUGCUGCUGUUGGUUGGUUAAUUGCGUGGGCGUGACGUUGCAUUUUAUAGCUUAAGAAUAAAAUGAGUUGCUUGUGGUUGAGUUCGUGAGCGGUCUUACUUUUGGGUCUAAAGAAGAAAACGCUACACUUCUUUCUGGCGUUCCUGGGUGGGCUCAACAUGGAAAAGAUGGAAGCAGAAUUCGCGAAGAAGUUUGGUGAACUUCAAGACCAUUUCGACGAACGUAUUACGAGAGUGUAUCGGAGUCUGACCGAUCGACUGGAUCAGUUACCAACGAACAGGAGCGAAAGGAGGACUAAAUCCGAGAACGUUGACGGUACAAAGGCAUUAUGGCAAACGCACACUGUGGCCAAUCAAGAAUGCACUCACUGUGCAUUGAUCUUCCACACCCUGAACAUGCAACCUGGGAAAAAAUAAGAAAUUUGAAUUGAAAUAUUUUUAACUUUUAUGUAAAAGGGAAGAGCAAAAUGUAUGUUAAAAACUAUUAAUUUAAACAAGUUAACUAAUAAGUUG